rnacentral:misc_RNA from 1 species
GAUGAAGAACGAGCGAAAUGCGAUAAGUAAUGUGAAUUGCAGAAUUCAGUGAAUCAUCGAAUCUUUGAACGCACAUUGCGCCCCUUGGUAUUCCGAGGGGCAUGCCUGUUCGAGCGUCAUUAUAACCCCUCAAGCUCAGCUUGGUGUUGGGGCCUGCUGCACUGGCAGCCCUUAAAAUCAGUGGCGGCGCCAUCUGGCUCUAAGCGUAGUAAUUCUUCUCGCUAUGGAGUCCUGGUGGAUGCUUCCCAUCAACCCCCAAUUUUUCUAUGGUUGACCUCGGAUCAGGUAGGGAUACCCGCUGAACUUAAGCAUAACAAUAAGCGGAGGA